rnacentral:rRNA from 1 species
UACGUAGGGCGCAAGCGUUAUCCGGAAUUAUUGGGCGUAAAGCGUCUGUAGGUGGCUUUUAAGUCCGCCGUCAAAUCCCAGGCUCAACCCUGGACAGGCGGUGGAAACUACCAAGCUGGAGUACGGUAGGGCAGAGGGAAUUUCCGGUGGAGCGGUGAAAUGCGUAGAGAUCGGAAAGAACACCAACGGCGAAAGCACUCUGCUGGGCCGACACUGACACUGAGAGACGAAAGCUAGGGGAGCGAAUGGG